CUGUUUGUGCUUAUUAGUCUCACCUUUAUAUUCUGGGUCUUGUCUUCACUUCCCUGUCGGGUCAUUGUUUGGUUAUGUUCGGUAUUGUGCCUUGUCCUGUCUUGCCACGCCACUCAGAGUUUUUUGAGCUGCCCAGUCAGCACCUUUUUGUUCAAAUAAAUACUUUGUUUUUUGGAGACUUGCAACUGCCUGAAUCAUGGGUUCAUUCCUGCCUGAGAUUCAUAACAGUUUAGGAAGUUUAAAGCCAUCCAAUCCCUGAUGUCAGCCAGGCAGUCAAGAAGAGGUUAGAUGCAGUGUGGGCCAGCCUGUUUCAGAGGAAAGUAAAUUUGACAGUCGUCCGCAUAAAGAUGAAUUAGUAUGCCAUGUUUAUGAAAGAUUGCACCUAGUGGCAGUAGGUAUAAGGAAAAAAGAAGGGGUCCCAGGAUUGAGCCCUGUGGUACUCCCCAUUGAAAUGGUGCUGAUGAAGACAUGAAGUCCUUGAUGUUAACACAGAAGUGUCUAUCUGUCAGGUUACCAUGCUGUUUAAACCACAAUUCAACAUGAGGUCAGGGUCUGCAGUGAACAUCCCACCACUACAGCUACACUGUGUCCAUGUGUGGUAGGGGUGUGUUGUGAUGAGACAGACGGUAUGAGGAGAACAUGACAGAUGCUGUCCCCCCCACCCAACUGCAGGCUGGCUGCCACAGGUUAAAGGUCUGUCUGCUGUAUGCAUGGGCACCCAAGAGAUGAAGAGGACUCCAUGGUCCAGUCAAGAUGGUCAAAAGAGAAGCAAAUCUUCAAAUGUGUAACUGUCAUGUUAAUUUGUGUAUAACAAUACUGUAUUCAACGAGUUCUUCUUGUUCAGAACAUUUAGUAAAGUGUUGAUGUUGUAACUUA